rnacentral:rRNA from 1 species
AUACGUAGGGGGCGAGCGUUGUCCGGAAUCAUUGGGCGUAAAGCGCGCGUAGGCGGCCCGAUCAGUCUGCUCUGAAAGUCAAAGGCUCAACCUUUGAACGCGGGUGGAAACUGUCGGGCUAGAGUACGGAAGAGGCGAGUGGAAUUCCUGGUGUAGCGGUGGAAUGCGCAGAUAUCAGGAGGAACACCAAUAGCGAAGGCAGCUCGCUGGGACGUUACUGACGCUAAGGCGCGAAAGCGUGGGGAGCGAACAGGAUUAGAUACCCUGGUAGUCCACGCCGUAAACGAUGGGCACUAGGUGUGGGAGGUGUCGACUCCUCCCGUGCCGUCGCUAACGCACUAAGUGCCCCGCCUGGGGAGUACGGCCGCAAGGCUAAA